GGUUCUUGAGAUAUUUUGAUUUUCUUUUCCGGCUCCAUAUAUUUUUUUUUGAAAAAAAUCAUAAGUCUACUAUUUUCAACUCAAAUCGUCUGAAACUUAUAACUUAGCAUAAACACACUAAGCAAAACCCAUUUCAAUCAAAAAAAUCUUAAAAUGUUGACUUUUGAUUUUGUGCUUUUUCCAUAGAAACAAUUAAUGAUUUAAAAAAAAAGCCGCACCCGUGACGGAUAUAUGUAUAUGCCAAAAAAAUCACAAAUAAUUCGUAGUAUAAUCACCUGCGAGGAUAUUACCGUUUAUAUCGCGGUUCUUGAGUAAUAAUGUUUUCUUUUCCGGCUCCAUAUAUUUUUUUUUGAAAAAAAUCAUAAGUCUACUAUUUUCAACUCAAAUCGUCUGAAACUUAUAACUUAGCAUAAACACACUAAGCAAAACCCAUUUCAAUCAAAAAAAUCUUAAAAUGUUGACUUUUGAUUUUGUGCUUUUUCCAUAGAAACAAUUAAUGAUUUAAAAAAAAAGCCGCACCCGUGACGGAUAUAUGUAGUAUGCCAAAAAAAUCACAAAUAAUUCGUGGAAUAAACGUUCGCGAGUAUAUUACCGUAUUUGUUGCGGUUCUUGAGAUAUUUUGAUUUUUUGUUCGGCUCCAUACAUUUUUUUUGAAAAAAAUCAUAACUCUACUAUUUUCAACUCAAAUCGUCUGAAACUUAUAACUUAGCAUAAACACACUAAGAAAAACCCAUUUCAAUCAAAAAAUCUUAAAAUGUUGACUUUUGAUUUUGUGCUUUUUCCAUAGAAACAAUUAUUGAUUUAAAAAAAAAAAGCCGCACCCGUGACGGAUAUAUGUAGUAUGCCAAAAAAAUCACAAAUAAUUCGUAGUAUAAUCACCUGCGAGGAUAUUACCGUUUAUAUCGCGGUUCUUGAGUAAUAAUGUUUUCUUGUUCCUGCUCCAUACAUUUUUUUUGAAAAAAAUUCGUAACUCGACAAUUUUCAUUUCAAAUCGUCUAAAAUUCAUAGGU